CUGCACGGCCAUUCGGUGAUGGAGAGACAUGCCCCGCCCUCAGAAAGCGUCGCUGGAGCGGUCCAGACAGCAGGAACAGCUCAUCCACAAGAAGACGAUGAAGGCGCCUCCAUUGACGUCGACACCGGCGACUGCGCAGCCGCUGCAGACGUGUUCCUCCCUCCUCCACAAGGCGAGCAUGUCGCAGCCACGUCACACUGCCGCGAGAAGCGGAGGCAAGGUGCAUCAGCUGAGGAUCAAAAACAAAAAGUCAAAUCCCAACGCCGUGACCCCCUUCAACCACCGCGCACGCUUCACGAAACUGAAGCGCGGCAUCCACGCGCAGCGGCAGUGGGUGCUGGACUGCUUGCCGGCAGCAGAGUCGCACAUCAGCGCUGGUGCAGUUCCACAACUGGAGCACUUCGAGGCUUCUCCGGUUCUCUCCAGCCCCUCAUCCUCUACAAAGGAGUGGGCCAGUGACAGAGAGAGUGACGGUGACCCCUGUGCUGACGUGGGCAGGCGCAGGGAGUGUCUCUAUUCCCAGGCAGCCGUCAAGUGCGCCGUGGCGGCGAUGAACUCACUCUACGCAAGUCUGGACGCGGCCAUGAAGGGUCGCCGAUACAGGCAGGCGGGGAGGCUGAAGAGGCGCAUUCACGCUUGCCAGCUGCGGCUGCGGCGUGAGUUGAAGGCCCGUGCGCUACAAGGCCCCUUGAGAAGCGAUGUGGGUAGAGUCAGUCGAGCACUGUCUGAUACAACUGGUACGGAUGUGCAAGAGACGCGCACAACGGUUUCUUCCGGCGACGCUGCGCUGCCGUAUACGUACCGGAGCUUUCACCCACCCUCGACAUGGCUGGGUGUGGGCCAACACCCGCGCAGCGCGUGGGUGGAUCAGCGCACCGGCCGCUACCCACAGCUGCGCGCCGAAGCGCACCUUCAAGCGGUAGUGCGUCACUUCAUGAAUGGCGACGUAGCAGACCUCGACACCUUGCCCGACGCAUGCAAAACAAUGAUCCCCGCCCCGUCUUCGUCGCCGCCGAGCACGGCGCUUUCGCGGUCACAGCGUGCAAUGAAGUCCUCGCUCUUCGCUGCAGCCUACUGCACGAACGUACUCACCGACGCGCUUGAUGACCUCUGCUUCACGCUGCUGCAGGGUCUCUACAAGGAGCAACGCGACUUGAAGCAGAAGCAGCCGCUGCAGUUCAAGGCGAGGCAGCGAUACGUUGUGGGCUUUCAGGAGGUGCUGAAGUGUCUAAAGGCGGGGCGCGUGCGGCUUGUUCUACUGGCGACAGAUGUCGAAGCGGUCGAGGUUCCCGUCUCGGCACCACCACCACCACCACCUCAGCCCUCAGUCACCGCGCCUGGUGUUCAUCGGACGGCCUCGCCCUCUGCGCGUCCAGCAAGCAAAUCAACACGGAAGAAGGCGUUCCAGACGCUGCACGAAGCUGUUCAGCUUGUGCAGCAGCUCUGCGGAGUUACCGGUCCUGCCGAGCGGGACACCGUCGCACGCUUCAACGGCCACAGCACCCGAGCGCCGCCCCUCUGCGUGUCCUGCCUGUCACGCCAACGACUCUCCUACGCGCUGUACGCGAAGGGCAGCAAGGUGGGCUGUGUGGCGGUGCUGCAAGCUGAAAAGAAUCGCGAGGCUCUCAAGGCGGUGAUGAGCUACGCGCGAUACUUGACGACCGCCUACGCCGCAGAGAUGGGGACGACCAUGGUCGAAGAGAGGUGAGAAGUGCCGCCGUGAAGGUGGGAGCAUGGCGAGGCUCUCCCGAACGAAUUCGGCAACCGAACACGGUGUGGGCAGCAGUCAGUGCCGUAUGCGUUUGUGUG
rnacentral:misc_RNA from 1 species